GAGUAAAGCGGCGCACGGGUGAGUAACGCGUGGAUAAUCUACCCUUGAGUGGGGAAUAACCCGCCGAAAGGCGGACUAAUACCGCAUAAGACCACAAUACGCAGGUAUUGCGGUUAAAGGUGGGGACCCUUCGGGGCCCAGUGCUCGAGGAUGAGUCCGCGUCCCAUCAGUUUGUUGGUGAGGUAACGGCUCACCAAGGCUAAGACGGGUAGCUGGUCUGAGAGGACGAUCAGUCACACUGGCACUGGAACACGGGCCAGACUCCUACGGGAGGCAGCAGUGGGGAAUAUUGCGCAAUGGGCGAAAGCCUGACGCAGCGACGCCGCGUGAGGGAAGAAGGCCUUCGGGUCGUAAACCUCUGUCAGGGGGGAAGAAAGCUGCAGCGGUUAAUAGCCGUUGUAGUUGACGGUACCCCCGGAGGAAGCAUCGGCUAACUACGUGCCAGCAGCCGCGGUAAUACGUAGGAUGCAAGCGUUGCUCGGAAUCACUGGGUGUAAAGAGCGCGUAGGUGGCUUGGCAAGUCAAGGGUGAAAUCCCUCGGCUCAACCGGGGAACUGCCUUUGAAACUGCCAGGCUUGAGUACGGGAGAGGGAAGCGGAAUUCCUGGUGUAGCGGUGAAAUGCGUAGAUAUCAGGAGGAACACCGGCGGCGAAGGCGGCUUCCUGGACCGAUACUGACACUGAGGCGCGAAAGCGUGGGUAGCAACAGGAUUAGAUACCCUGGUAGUCC
rnacentral:rRNA from 1 species